rnacentral:rRNA from 1 species
UGCCUUAUAGUGGGGGAUAGCCUUUCGAAAGGAAGAUUAAUACCGCAUAAGAUUGUAGUAUCGCAUGAUAUAGCAAUUAAAAGGAGCAAUCCGCUAUAAGAUGGACCCGCGUCGCAUUAGCUAGUUGGUGAGGUAAUGGCUCACCAAGGCGACGAUGCGUAGCCGACCUGAGAGGGUGAUCGGCCACAUUGGGACUGAGACACGGCCCAGACUCCUACGGGAGGCAGCAUG